AUUGAACGCUGGCGGCAUGCCUUACACAUGCAAGUCGAACGGCAGCACGGGUGCUUGCACCUGGUGGCGAGUGGCGAACGGGUGAGUAAUAUAUCGGAACGUACCUUAUUGUGGGGGAUAACGCAGCGAAAGCUGUGCUAAUACCGCAUAAUCCCUAAGGGGGAAAGCGGGGGACCGUAAGGCCUCGCGCAAUUAGAGCGGCCGAUACCUGAUUAGCUAGUUGGUGAGGUAAAGGCUCACCAAGGAAACGAUCAGGAGCUGGUCUGAGAGGACAAUCAGCCACACUGGGACUGAGACACGGCCCAGACUCCUACGGGAGGCAGCAGUGGGGAAUUUUGGACAAUGGGGGCAACCCUGAUCCAGCAAUGCCGCGUGAGUGAAGAAGGCCUUCGGGUUGUAAAGCUCUUUUGUCAGGGAAGAAACAGCAGCUCUAACACAGUAUGCGAAUGACGGUACCUGAAGAAUAAGCACCGGCUAACUACGUGCCAGCCGCCGCCGUAA
rnacentral:rRNA from 1 species